UAUGGACCCACCUGAUCCCAUGCCGAACUCAGAAGUGAAACGUAAUAGCGCCGAUGGUAGUGUGGGGUUUCCCCAUGUGAGAGUAGGACAUCGCCAGGC
rnacentral:rRNA from 1 species